rnacentral:rRNA from 1 species
CCUACGGGAGGCUGCAGUAGGGAAUCUUCCACAAUGGGCGAAAGCCUGAUGGAGCAACGCCGCGUGGGUGAAGAAGGUCUUCGGAUCGUAAAACCCUGUUGUUAGAGAAGAAAGUGCGUGAGAGUAACUGUUCACGUGUAGACGGUAUCGAACCAGAAAGCGAGGGCUAACUACGUGCCAGCAGCCGCGGUAAUACGUAGGUGGCAAGCGUUAUCCGGCUUUAUUGGGCGUAAAGGGAACGCAGGCGGUCUUUUAAGUCUGAUGUGAAAGCCUUCGGCUUAACCGGAGUAGUGCAUUGGACACUGGGAGACUUGAGUGCAGCAGAGUAUAGUCGAACUCCAUUUGUAGCGGU